UACGUAGGGGCCGAGCGUUGUCCGGAGUUAUUGGGCGUAAAGCGCGCGCAGGCGGCCUCGCGCGCCCGACGUGAAAGCCCCCGGCUUAACCGGGGAGGGUCGUUGGGGACGGCGGGGCUUGAGGGCGGGAGAGGUCGGUGGAAUUCCCGGUGUAGUGGUGAAAUGCGUAGAUAUGCGGAGGAACACCGAUGGCGAAGGCAAUCCCCUGGACCUGUACUGACGCUCAUGCACGAAAGCGUGGGGAGCAAACAGG
rnacentral:rRNA from 1 species